CCCCUCUCAGGCUCACACCUGGAGAGUUUCAGUACUCUACCAGUUUCAACUAAGGGAGGGAGAGUCAAGCAGAGGCCUACACAUUCCAUUUCUAGUUCAGGCAGGGGCUAGCAAGUGGAAGGCAAUCUGCUACAAGU